rnacentral:rRNA from 1 species
AUUGAACGCUGGCGGCAGGCCUAACACAUGCAAGUCGAGCGGAUGAAGGGAGCUUGCUCCUGGAUUCAGCGGCGGACGGGUGAGUAAUGCCUAGGAAUCUGCCUGGUAGUGGGGGAUAACGUCCGGAAACGGGCGCUAAUACCGCAUACGUCCUGAGGGAGACAGUGGGGGAUCUUCGGACCUCACGCUAUCAGAUGAGCCUAGGUCGGAUUAGCUAGUUGGUGGGGUAAAGGCCUACCAAGGCGACGAUCCGUAACUGGUCUGAGAGGAUGUUCAGUCACACUGGAACUGAGACACGGUCCAGACUCCUACGGGAGGCAGCAGUGGGGAAUAUUGGACAAUGGGCGAAAGCCUGAUCCAGCCAUGCCGCGUGUGUGAAGAAGGUCUUCGGAUUGUAAAGCACUUUAAGUUGGGAGGAAGGGCAGUAAGUUAAUACCUUGCUGUUUUGACGUUACCAACAGAAUAAGCACCGGCUAACUUCGUG